CCCUCUAUUGUUGACAACGAGCCGUGGGGGGCUUUCCGGUGAGGACCGGAAAACCUGCUAGACAAAUUCUAAAAGAGCUGUAACACUACAGGAAGUGGCCUGGAGAGACCAUGGGGUAUCCAGGAAUGCCACUCUUGGUGAGGAGUUUGUGAACAUUUGAUUCGAGUCUAUGCAAAUGAACUCGAAGCUGAUUGGCUGGCAAGGCUGGCCACACCCCCUCCGAUGUUUGAGAAGGCCGAGGGCGAGGGCGGUUCUCCGGCUCUCCUAAGAUGGCCUUGUCCCUGCUGUGCGCUCCAGCCUGACGUCCUCCGAUUCCUCCUCUCUUCUAGACGUCUGAAAUGGUCUCCCACCCCCUUCCCAAACCAUGGGGUACUUACGCCUCCAGAGUUCUCAUCGCUUUAACCUAAUGAAACUAUGCCCCUGCUCCUCCGC